rnacentral:rRNA from 1 species
AUUGAACGCUGGCGGCAUGCUUUACACAUGCAAGUCGAACGGACUUAGGGGCUUGCUCCUGAGUUAGUGGCGAACGGGUGAGUAAUGCAUCGGAACGUACCGUGUAGUGGGGGAUAACGCAGCGAAAGUUGUGCUAAUACCGCAUACGAUCUACGGAUGAAAGCAGGGGAUCGCAAGACCUUGUGCUAUACGAGCGGCCGAUGUCGGAUUAGCUAGUUGGUGAGGUAAAGGCUCACCAAGGCGACGAUCCGUAGCGGGUCUGAGAGGAUGAUCCGCCACACUGGGACUGAGACACGGCCCAGACUCCUACGGGAGGCAGCAGUGGGGAAUUUUGGACAAUGGGCGCAAGCCUGAUCCAGCCAUGCCGCGUGAGUGAAGAAGGCCU